rnacentral:rRNA from 1 species
AACCGUAACACAGGUGCUGCAUGGCUGUCGUCAGCUCGUGUCGUGAGAUGUUGGGUUAAGUCCGCAACGAGCGCAACCCUUGUCAUUAGUUGCUACAUUUAGUUGGGCACUCUAAUGAGACUGCCGGUGACAAACCGGAGGAAGUGGGAUGACGUCAAGUCCUCAUGGCCCUUAUAGGUAGGGCUACACACGUCAUACAAUGGAUGGUACAAAGGGUCGCCAACCCGCGAGGGGGAGCCAAUCCCAUAAAACCAUUCGUAGUCCGGAUCGCAGUCUGCAACUCGACUGCGUGAAGUCGGAAUCGCUAGUAAUCGUGGAUCAGAAUGUCACGGUGAAUACGUUCCCGGGUCUU